UACAGAGGUCCCGAGCGUUGCUCGGAUUUACUGGGCGUAAAGGGUGUGUAGGAGGUCGGAAAAGUCGAAUGUGAAAUCCCUCUGCCUAACGGAGGAACUGCGUUCGAAACUGUCUGGCUAGAGGUUCGGAUGGGGAAGCGGAACUCUCGGUGUAGCAGUGAAAUGCGUAGAUAUCGAGAGGAACACCGGUGGCGAAGGCGGCUUCCUGGACGAAACCUGACUCUGAAACACGAAAGCUAGGGGAGCAAACGGG
rnacentral:rRNA from 1 species